rnacentral:hammerhead_ribozyme from 1 species
UUAGGCUGAAGAGUCCCGGAAUAGGACGAAACAGCCGUCCAGUAC